rnacentral:snRNA from 1 species
UUACUUUAAUCAACUCGUGAUCAAUAAGACGAGUGACUUAGGCUAGUGACCGCAUUGCACAUAACGCUGGAGAGUCUACGUCAUUAUUUGUGGUAGAAGGGGGUGGUUUGCGUUCGCGCCCUUA